rnacentral:rRNA from 1 species
UGGGGGAUAUUGCACAAUGGGCGAAAGCCUGAUGCAGCGACGCCGCGUGGGGGAUGAAGGCCUUCGGGUUGUAAACUUCUUUUGCUCUGAACAAGGCGCACCAUGGGGUGUGUUGAGUGUAGGGGUUGACUAGCGCCGGCUAACUACGUGCCAGCAGCCGCGGUAAUACGUAGGGCGCGAGCGUUGUCCGGAAUUAUUGGGCGUAAAGGGCUUGUAGGUGGCUGGUUGCGUCUGUCGUGAAAGCUCAUGGCUUAACUGUGGGUUUGCGGUGGGUACGGGCUGGCUUGAGUGCAGUAGGGGAGGCUGGAAUUCCUGGUGUAGCGGUGGAAUGCGCAGAUAUCAGGAGGAAUACCGGUGGCGAAGGCGGGUCUCUGGGCUGUUACUGACACUGAGGAGCGAAAGCAUGGGGAGCGAACAGG